AAUAUUGGACAAUGGGGGCAACCCUGAUCCAGCCAUGCCUCGUGUGUGAAGAAGGUCUUCGGAUUGUACAGCACUUUAAGUUGGGAGGUAGGGCUUUAGGUUAAUACCCUGAAGUUGUUACGUUACCAACAGAAUAAGCACCGGCUAACUCUGUGCUCGCAGCCGCGGCAAUACAGAGGGUGCAAGCGUUAACCGGAAUUACUGGCCUUAAAGCGAGCGUAGGUGGUUCAGUAAGAUGGGUGUGAAAUCCCCGGGCUUAACCUGGGAACUGCUUUCAUAACUGCUGAGCUAGAGUACGGUAGAGGGUAGUGGAAUUUCCUGUGUAGCGGUGAAAUGCGUAGAUAUAGGAAGGAACACCAGUGGCGAAGGCGACUACCUGGACUGAUACUGACACUGAGGUGCGAAAGCGUGGGGAGCAAAC
rnacentral:rRNA from 1 species